rnacentral:lncRNA from 1 species
CCCCCCCUCGCCCCAACCCAAACACCCUCAGCCCCUUGCUCCUCGGCCGCGCCAGGAAUGCGGACUAAUUAGGGUCCAAUGUCUCCUUAAAGAGACAAGCUCGGCCUUGUGUAACGCGCCGAAACCCCUGUUGAGACAAGAGAGGGAGGAUCGCGCCGAUCCCACUUCGUUCGGUUCACAUCAAUUUUACGCGCCGCUGGAGCCGGCAUAAUUUUCCGUGUGAACGCAGACUCGGGCCCCUGUUCUUGCCUAGAGCAGGAGGCUGAGCCGCGAGACGCUCCCCCGGGCGGGAGGGCGCCCCUCCGCCCCCGAGGGGGCUGUGGCUGCCGUUCAGCCCGGACGUGGGGCCGGUUUCCCCGAGCAGCUCUGCGGGGACGCCCCCGAGUCGCUCGGCUCGCGGGCCCCGGGGGCGGAACCGCCGAGUCUCGAGGUGGGGCUGGAGGCCCGGGGCCAGGGUCGCCCCCUUCCCGAAGAAACUUUGCGGACCGGGAGCCCGCACCGCGCGCGCCCUAGGGCAGCGUCCACGAGGUACCAGUCGCAGGCACGGGACAGGAAACGCCCAGCAGCCCGGGGAUGCUCCUUCUCCCCGGGCCAGAGGGAGAAGACUGCCCCCUCUUUUUCCUGUUCUUUCAAGUCAAGUCUGAACCGGGCCGGGCCUCGCGGAUCACGAGAGAGGGCGGGUCGGCGACAGUGGGGAUAAGCCCCGCAAGAGCGGGGGGAUGCGGGGGCACAGGCAGGUGGAGGGCAUUUUUGGGAAAGGGGCUAAAGAGGCGAGGACCGACUCGGUGGCCAGAGGGGACGGCCCGAGGCCGACGGCGUCUUCAUCCUCAGUCCUCCUCCAGCGAGCCAGGGGUUGGAGAACUCUGUGUGGACAGUUUUCUGAUCCUCCUCGGUCCCAUGUGCCCAGUCCAAAAUGAGACGUGCGAUCUACAUGACAAAGAGAAAGAUCUCCGAAAGAUGCAGAAGGAAGCAACCCCUCUCCCAGAACAACACAGAAACUUGGGGCCUGAACUCACCACCCAGAGGUCAAGAGUCACAUGUUCUCCCAGCUGAGCCAGCCGCGCACCCCUGUGCUUCUCUGUUUGCACUUUUCACAAAUUGCUAAGCCAAGCUGUGAAGUCAACCUUGGGACUUGUCUUAUCCCUACCACACAGUGGGGAGUUCCAGAAUUUUUAUGUGAGUGGGGCUCAGCAACAGCAGUCCUAGUGGAAGCUAGGCCUGGGGUUUCAAUCUUAAUGUGAUAUAUGCAAAGCAAGCACAUUAUUUUUUCUUAUAUGUUAUAAAUUAUGUAUUCUUCCACCAGGUAUUUAUUGAAAAAAAAUGUUUUGACCUAACAUGUGCCAAGAUAAGGGAAUUUAGCAAUAAAUUACUGUUUUUGAUUUAUUAUCUCUGAGCU